rnacentral:rRNA from 1 species
UGUUUCGGCAAGGGGGUCAUCCCGACUUACCAACCCGAUGCAAACUGCGAAUACCGGAGAAUGUUAUCACGGGAGACACACGGCGGGUGCUAACGUCCGUCGUGAAGAGGGAAACAACCCAGACCGCCAGCUAAGGUCCCAAAGUCAUGGUUAAGUGGGAAACGAUGUGGGAAGGCCCAGACAGCCAGGAUGUUGGCUUAGAAGCAGCCAUCAUUUAAAGAAAGCGUAAUAGCUCACUGGUCGAGUCGGCCUGCGCGGAAGAUGUAACGGGGCUAAACCAUGCACCGAAGCUGCGGCAGCGACGCUUAUGCGUUGUUGGGUAGGGGAGCGUUCUGUAAGCCUGCGAAGGUGUACUGUGAGGUAUGCUGGAGGUAUCAGAAGUGCGAAUGCUGACAUAAGUAACGAUAAAGCGGGUGAAAAGCCCGCUCGCCGGAAGACCAAGGGUUCCUGUCCAACGUUAAUCGGGGCAGGGUGAGUCGACCCCUAAGGCGAGGCCGAAAGGCGUAGUCGAUGGGAAACAGGUUAAUAUUCCUGUACUUGGUGUUACUGCGAAGGGGGGACGGAGAAGGCUAUGUUGGCCGGGCGACGGUUGUCCCGGUUUAAGCGUGUAGGCUGGUUUUCCAGGCAAAUCCGGAAAAUCAAGGCUGAGGCGUGAUGACGAGGCACUACGG